rnacentral:lncRNA from 1 species
CGUAGAUGAGAGCACUGUACUCGGCUGUGGAUCUUGGUCUUUUAUCUUUUUAUGUUUAUGGACGUCUGCCUGUGUGGACGACUGUGUACCACAUAUGGGCAAUGCCUGUGGAGCCAGAAGAAAGAUUUGAUUGCUGGACACUGCAGGACAGUGGACUGUGAGAGGAAGCCUAGUAAGAUCGAGGUGGGCUUGAAGACCCAGGGACCCACGAGGGACAAACAUUAGGAGCUUCGCCUGCUCCUGUCACCAGGCCCUGGUCUCAUAGCCACAGCCUACCAUGGAGAGAAUUGUGGCCAUCAGUCAUGGAGGGUCAGUGCCUCCACAUAGAGACGAGGCAUCCCUAAACAUUUCAGACCAAGCC